UUUCAGUUGUUAUCUCUUUAAAUAUUUUCUUGGGUCCUUCCUCUUCUCCUGUGGGACCCCUAUAAGGCGAAUGUUGUUGCAUUUAAUGUCCCAGAGAUCUCUUACAUUGUCCUCAUUUCUCCUCAUUCUUUUCUUCAUUAUUCUGAUCCGCGGCAGCAAUUUCCACCAUUCUGUCUUCCAGCUCAUUUAUUCUUCUGCCUCAUAUAUUCUGCCACUGAUUCCUUCUAGUGUAUUUUUCAUCUCAGUUAUUGUAUUGUUCAUCUUUGUUCUUUAAAUCUCCAAGGUCUUUGUUAGAUAUUUCUUGUAUGUUCCUGAUCUGUGCCUCCAUUCCUCUUCUGAGAUCUUGGCUCAUCUUUACUAUCGUUCCUCUGAAUUCUCUUUGAGGUAGAUUGCCAGUCUCUACUUCGCCCAGUUGUUCUUCUGGGGUAUCUCAUUUUGUCUGACUUUCUGUGACUGUGGCUUCCAUUCUUCAGGCUGUAGGGCUGUAGUUCUUGCUGCCUGCCCCUGGCAGGUGCAGCUAUCCAAGAGGCUUAUGCAGGCUUCCUGGUGAGAGAAACUGGUACUUACCCACAGGUGGGUGGAGCUGGGUCUUGUCCCUCUGGUGGGCAGGGCUAUGUCAGGGACUGUUUAUAUUGGGCAGCUGUUUUCUCAGGAUUUAAGCAGGCUGUCUGUUGCUGAGUGGAGCUGUGCUCCUGCCCUGUUGGUUGGUUGGCUUUGAGGGGUCCUAGCACUGGCUGUUGGGUGGGGCCAGGUCUUGGUGAGAAAAUGGGGGCAUCCAAGAGGGCUCACACCAAUAAGUGUUCCCUAGAACUAUAACAACCAGUGUCCUUGUCCCUGCAGUGAGCCACAGCUACCCCCCACCUCCACAGGAGACCCUCCAAUCCUAGCAGGUAAGUCUGGCCUAAUCUCUUAUGAGGUCACUGCUUUUUUUCCCUGAAUCCUCAUGUAUGUGAGACUCUGUACCCUCCAAGAGUGGAAUUCCUACAGUCAAACCUCACUGGCCUUCAAAGCUGGAUUCUCUGGAGCCACCUCCUCCUGUCGCCAGACCUCCAGGCUGGGGAGCCCUUUGUGGGGCUCAGAACACUCACUCUUGGGGGAGAACUUCUGUGAUAUAAUUAUUUUCCAGUUUGUGGGUCCCCACCUGGUUCAUAUGGGAUUUGAUUUUAAUCUUGAUUGUGCCCCCUACCGUCUUAUUGUGGCCUCUUUGGAUGGAGCAUAUCCUUUUUGGUAGGUUCUGGCGUGUGUUUUGUUGUUGAUGGUGGUUCUGCAGUUGGUUGUGAUUCUGGUGUUUCCGUAAGAGGUGAGCUCAUGCCCUUCUACACUGCCAUCGUGUCUCCUCCCAAAGGCGUGUUAUUUACAGCUGAGACAGUGUUUAACAUUAUAGAUGUAAAUAGAUAAAUAAGCAAAUGGGAUAGAAAGAUUCUGUUAUGCAACUCAACUGCAUGACAUUGUCAUAUCAAAAAUGAUAGUGAUAUAUCAGCUUAAACCCUUAAUUAGAUAGAUUCUCCUUUAGUUUGUUGAAAGCAGAGAACUAGACAGUACUGGCCUUGCCAUAGAUUUGUUAGCCAGUCAUUGUAAUGAAUUUGGUGCCCCUGAGGUUUUUAUACUCCAGAGGGCAAUGCACUGCAAUAAGGUGGAUGAGACCUAAGGCACUUUAAAGAAAAAAAAAAGGAAAAGGGGAAGAAGAAUUGGGAGGCUUCUCAGGCAGAUCCGUUUUAGGACAGUGCAUGUACUUGCACCCAUGGACCUUGUGGAGAGGGAAGACCACAUGCUUAAAGGAUUACAAAGCAGCUAUGACAAGACCAUGACAAGCAGCUUAAAAAGCACAUAAAAUAAUGCUUACCUGUUUACCUCUGUGUUCUUCAGAGUGGUGUUAAAAGCUGCACUUUUGCAAAAACUAAUUAAACAAAAAGCAGAUGGGUCCAAAUGUGCCGAGGACGAGGUGCUGUGGUCUGAGAAAAUAGUCUCUACAUGAGCCCAGAGAAUCUGGCAUAUACUGUUUGUAUAAUACAGUGCAAAAGACCAGCACAGAAUCUUGACUACCAGCAGAAGUCGCCUGAUGUCACUGAGAGCACGCAGUCUUGACUUUUUGACGGAAUGCGGGUGGUUACUCCCAACUUCGGUUUCCAUUACCUGGAGAGUGUGUAUCCAGACCUCAGCCUCGAGGAGGACAGGCCUCUGCAGUCACCCUAAGUGAGGUGAGCACCGUACAUUCUGCUCACGCCCGCGGCUGCCGCUCCUUCCUAUCACAAACCACCUUUCUCGGACCAGGCAAAGGAGUGCAGCACACGUGUUCAUGUUAAAAUGUGAAUUUUAAUCAUAAAAACUGUUUUCUGUAAAUAUAGUUAUAUCUACCUCUCUGCAUACAGCUUGGUUCACAUAUAUACAGAUAUGAUAUACACAGAUGUUAUCUGUAGCACAGAACAAAAUCAGUUCGAGAAACAUGUACCCGCUGGGAUGAAUCCCAGCUUUCCUUAGGCCUUCUAAAUGAUUCCCACCGAAGAGAGAGGACAACAGAGCAAGAUGCAGGACAUUCAGGGAGCUGUAUCAACUGUCUUACUAAUUUCAUCCUAGGAGCUGAAGACUUGAAACAAAACUAGAUUCCGUUUCUCUUAUUGCUAUGACUUACACUGGGAUAUUCAUCACAGUAGGGGUUUGACAUUUAAGGCGACGGGGAGGCUAUGCUGAUCUUAAACUUGGAAAACACAGAACUUCUCCCAAGUUUCUUUUUCAGAAAAGACUUACUCGUCAGAUCGAUUUAAAAAAAAAAAAAAAAAUUCGGCCAACAAGCCUGAGAUGUACAAAGGAGGUUAGUUUUGUUUUCCUCUACCCCAUACCCCUCAGGUCUCCUACCCAGUCUUCUCAAAAGCACAGAAUCUACAGCUUUCCUCACUGGUCUUGGAGGGCUAGAUUGAAACUCAGUCUUUGUUUGAUUUGGACAAAGGAAGGCGUUUUCACUCCAAUGUCAACAGUAUAUGCUGACAACCAGAUAACUCAGUGACCCGUGUGUGGAUUUUUCGUUUUGUGGAUCAUCUCUGGCUAGUUCAUAAAACCCUACACCCCACCUCCGCAUCCCCCAACUGUCCUUAGCAAAAUAGAUGUACCAUUAGUGUAAAGCAUUCUACAGCA
ensembl:lncRNA